rnacentral:rRNA from 1 species
AGAGUGAACGCUGGCGGUAGGCCUAACACAUGCAAGUCGAACGGCAGCACAGGAGAGCUUGCUCUCUGGGUGGCGAGUGGCGGACGGGUGAGGAAUACAUCGGAAUCUACCUUUUCGUGGGGGAUAACGUAGGGAAACUUACGCUAAUACCGCAUAAGACCUUCGGGUGAAAGCCGGGGACCUUCGGGCCUGGCGCGGAUAGAUGAGCCGAUGUCGGAUUAGCUUGUUGGCGGGGUAAAAGCCCACCAAGGCGACGAUCCGUAGCUGGUCUGAGAGGAUGAUCAGCCACACUGGAACUGAGACACGGUCCAGACUCCUACGGGAGGCAGCAGUGGGGAAUAGUUGGACAA